UGCUGGUUUGUGAUGACAACUACUGCCGUACCAUAUACAGAGAUCAUGAUGCAGCCGUCCUUUUGGAUUUCUUUUUAAUAAUGUGUGACCCUUCACCUUUGAUCCCCUGACCUGCAUUACCUUGGUAACCAUUUCAUUUUUUAAUUUAAUUUCAUUUUUUAAUUUUGGUGUACAAGCUGUAACAUUUCAUCUCUCAAAGUGUAACACGCUGAUAUCCUCACAUAGAGGUCCCUUUGAGUGAUAAAUUUGCAAAAUGCUGUCUUCAUUUUCUGUAUUAAAAUUCAUUCCAGUUUUAAAAAUAAAGUGUAAUUUGUGUUUUCAUCUU